CCUACGGGAGGCAGCAGUGAGGAAUAUUGGUCAAUGGCCGGAAGGCUGAACCAGCCAUGCCGCGUGAAGGUCAGUGCCCUAUGGGCGUUAAACUUCUUUUGUGCGGGAGCAAUAAUGGUCACGUGUGGCCAGACGAGAGUACCGUACGAAUAAGCAUCGGCUAACUCCGUGCCAGCAGCCGCGGUAAUACGGGGGAUGCAAGCGGUAUCCGGAUUUAUUGGGUUUAAAGGGUGCGUAGGCUGUGAGGUAAGUCAGCGGUGAAAUGCCCCCGCUCAAAGGGGUGAAGUGCCAUUGAUACUGCCAUGCUGGAAUGCGGAUGCCGUGGGAGGAAUGUGUGGUGUAGCGGUGAAAUGCAUAGAUAUCACACAGAACACCGAUUGCGAAGGCAUCUCACGAAUCCGCGAUUGACGCUGAUGCACGAAAGCGUGGGUAUCAAACAGGAUUAGAUACCCCAGUAGUC
rnacentral:rRNA from 1 species